UAACUUUUAUAAUUAUAAGAAUUCUCUAGAGGGUUAAACAUUCAUUCUUAUCUCUCUCUCUCUCGUCAGUUUCACUCCAGCAAUUAGAGGUAAGAUUUUCUUCAUUCAUUCUCUUGUUUCAAGUAUCUUCUUUGUUGGGAUUUUGGUUAGGGUUGUUGAUAUUUUGCUUUGUGUUGUGCGUAUGUGUGUGGGUGGGUGAGUCUGUACGGCCGUCACUUUCCGGCGGAUUUCCGGCAAGCUCCGGCAACUAAAACAUAGGAAGAUAGGUACCAUUGGAAAGCUCUCGUCGAUACCUUUCCAACGGUACCUUCGGAUUGUCAAUCCGACAUCGGACGAGGGAGUUAUGAGCCUGCAAAGUCAGGGUACCAAAUCUGUGCGCGGGAUUCCGACGGGAAAUCCAGCGCGACCUUGUUGUAGUGUUUUCUAUGUCUAUUUGAAGUCAAAACAUGAAGCAAUAUGAGGGGUUUUGAAGCCUAUGGUCUGGGCUACAACUUGACGUCUUCAAUUUUGUUUUUGAGUGUUCAAUGAAGGAGAAAUAGAGUCAUAAAAUCGGCUUGACGAAGCAAGGGUUUCGCCAUUGCUAAAAUUGAAAUUUUGACAUCACAUCGAUGCCAGAUUUAGGAUCAGACUUUGGGUUUUUAUUUGAGUUAACCUUGUCUUGAUUUCAAUCUGUUUAAGGAAUUUUGACCUAUUUAAGCUCUAAUUCUUUUAUAAUAGAUUGUAUUGUGAGCUCAUAGAACCUUAUAUAAAUUGUUAGAUCAUUUACAUGCAAUAUUGUGCUAUUAACUUAAAAGAUAGUAGCAUAAAAAUUGGAUUAAUUGGAGAUAUUACUAUAUCAUAAACAUAGUUUGAUUGCAUAACUGAAUUGAAUGUUUCAAAUGAGCUCUUAUUGAGUUUAAUUUUGUAAAUAUGCCUUAAGCUUCUAGAAUAUUACAAGGAAAUUAUCUAAACUCUAGAGUUAAUACAUGAAAAGUUCAUCACUAAGCUAAAGUAUUCUUAAGUGCCAGGAGCGGCGCAAUCAAGGCUCAAGGACGGACAACCAUACAAAAUUUGAAGAGGUUCUUUCGAAUUACAUCUUUUGAGGUGGGGUUUACUUUAAUCUGUAAGCCUAAUGGUCACAUUGUUAUAAUCAUUGUUGUGUUGUGCAUCAUGCAUAUGAGCUAAUAUGGCCCACAAGGGGUUAGAUCCACAAGGGAUCAAAUAAGUUGAUUUACCCACAAGGGGUCAGGUCCACAAGGGACUGAGACUAGUCUCAUGAAAUCGGCUAAGUUAAAGAAGUUCAUUAUGUUUGCUGCAUCACACAAUUGUUUAUAACAGCUUGCAGCGUUUAACUCACUGAGUGUGCUAGCAUACUCACGCCCUACUUUUAAUGUUACUUUCAGGUUAAGGAGUCGACGAGCAAGGCAAGCACGGAUGAGCUCAUAUUCUCCUACUUAUACUAUUUUGUGUAAAUUAUAAUAUUUUGCUUUAUGUACUACUGGAAGAGUUUGUGGUGGGCUGUGACCCAAUGAUCUAGUAUUUGAAUAUGCGAGUAGUUGAGGGUUGUGACCCAAUGGUGACUAAUGGGCCGUGAUCCAAUAGUUGAUGUUUAUAUAUGUGCUAUGCUUUGUGUUAAAUGGCUACUUAGGCAUGCCUAUAUUUUGUUUGAAAUAUAUAUAUAGAGAAAGAGUUUUGUCUAGUUUUAAUUAUUCAAUGGCUUGAUCUGCUUUAAUACAGAUAAAUAUUUAUUAGAAAUAAGAUUUUGUAAUGUUGCUCAUUUUAAAAUUGUGAGAGCGUUACAUUUUGGUAUCAGAGCAGGUCUACGUUCCUGUAGACUUGCGAAUUAUUUUUUUUCUGAAAUAAAAUUUUGUUGAAAUCGAAUUAAAAAAAAAUUGUGUUUGAUAUUUUGGUAUUUCAUUUCUUUGGGGGAAUUGUAGUUCAUCAUUGCUGCCCUACGUCGACUCCG
rnacentral:lncRNA from 1 species